CGUAAAGCGCAUGCAGGCGGCCUGUUAAGUCAGAUGUGAAAGCCCGGGGCGUUAACCUCGGAAUUGCAUUUGAAACUAGGCAGGCUAGAGUCUUGUAGAGGGGGGUAGGAAGUUUCAGGUGUAGCGGUGAAAUAGCGUAGAGAUCUGAAGGAAUACCGGUGGCGAAGGCGGCCCCCUCGGACAAAGACUGACGCUCAGAUGCGAAAGCGUGGGGAGCAAACAGGAUUAGAUACCCUGGUAG
rnacentral:rRNA from 1 species